rnacentral:lncRNA from 1 species
UUCCCAAUCUAUACGCCUUUUAUUUCCUUUUCUUAUCUUAGCUAGGACUUGCAUUAUCUAGGACAUCCAGUGCAAUGUUGAAAAGCAAUGGGGAGAAGGAACAUCUUUUUCUUGUGAAUGAGUGUUGAAUUUUGUCAAGUGCUUUUUCUGCAGCUAUUGAUAUAAUCCUGUGAUUUUUCUUCUUUAGCCUGUUGAUGUGAUGGAUUACAUUAAUUGAUUU